GAUGAACGCUGGCGGCGUGCCUAAUACAUGCAAGUCGAGCGAACAGAUAAGGAGCUUGCUCCUUUGACGUUAGCGGCGGACGGGUGAGUAACACGUGGGUAACCUACCUAUAAGACUGGAAUAACUCCGGGAAACCGGGGCUAAUGCCGGAUAACAUUUAGAACCGCAUGGUUCUAAAGUGAAAGAUGGUUUUGCUAUCACUUAUAGAUGGACCCGCGCCGUAUUAGCUAGUUGGUAAGGUAACGGCUUACCAAGGCAACGAUACGUAGCCGACCUGAGAGGGUGAUCGGCCACACUGGAACUGAGACACGGUCCAGACUCCUACGGGGGGCAGCAGUAGGGAAUCUUCCGCAAUGGGCGAAAGCCUGACGGAGCAACGCCGCGUGAGUGAUGAAGGUCUUCGGAUCGUAAAACUCUGUUAUUAGGGAAGAACAAAUGUGUAAGUAACCGUGCACGUCUUGACGGUACCUAAUCAGAAAGCCACGGCUAACUACGUG
rnacentral:rRNA from 1 species